rnacentral:rRNA from 1 species
GGUUUGAUCAUGGCUCAGAUUGAACGCUGGCGGGAUGUUUUUGCCAAUACGCAAGUCGAACGGCAGCACGGACUUCGGUCUGGUGGCGAGUGGCGAACGGGUGAGUAAUGUAUCGAACGUGCCUAGUAAGUGUAUAACGACGCGAAAGCGUAGCCAAUACCGCCGCCCUUCGGGGAAAGCGGGGGACCUUCGGGCCUCGCACUAUUAGAGCGGCCGAUAUCGGAUUAGCUAGUUGGUGGGGUAACGGCUCACCAAGGCGACGAUCCGCCGGUUUGAGAGACGACCAGCCACACUGGGACUGGAGACAUUUGGCCCAGACUCCUACGGGAGGCAGCAGUGGGAAUUUUGACAAUGGGGGAAACCCUGAUCCAGCCAUCCCGCGUGUGCGAUGAAGGCCUUCGCUGUAAAAGCACUUUGGCAGGAAAGAAACGGCACGGAUAAUACCCCGUGCAACUGACGGUACCUGCAGAAUGGGCACCGGCUAACUACGUGCCAGCAGCCGCGGUAAUACGUAGGGUGCAAGCGUUAAUCGGAAUUAUUACUGGGCGUAAAGCGUGCGCAGGCGGUUCGAAAGAAAGAUGAAAUCCCAGAGCUAACUUUUGGAACUGCAUUUUUAACUACCGAGCUAGAGGUGUCAGAGGGAGGUGGAAUUCCGCGUGUAGCAGUGAAAUGCGUAGAUAUGCGGAGGAAACGAUGGCGAAGGCAGCCUCUGGGAUAACACUGACGCCAUGCACGAAAGCGUGGGGAGCAAACAGGAUUAGAUACCCUGGUAGUCCACGCCUCUAAACGAUGUCAACUAGCUGUUGGGGCCUUCGGGCCUUUGGUAGCGCUAACGUGGCGUGAAGUUGACCGCCUGGGAGUACGGUCGCAAGAUUAAAAACUCAAAGGAAUUUCGACAAAUCUGCACAAGCGGUGAUUGAUGUGGAUUAAUUCGAUGCAACGCGAAAACCUUACCUACCCUUGACAUGUCUGGAAUCCCGAAGAGAUUUGGGAGUGCUCGCAAGAGAACCGAACACAGGUGCUGCACGGUCGUCGUCAGCUCGUGUCAGGAGAUGUUGGGUUAAGUCCUAGCAACGAGCGGAACCCUUGUCAUUAGUUGCACGUAGGCACUCUAUCGAGAUUCGCCGGUGACAAACUGAGGAAGGUGGGGAUGACGUCAAGUCCUCAUGGCCCUUAGGUAGGGUCACACUGUCACAAGGCACAGCCGACAGAGGGUCGCCAACCCGCGAGGGGAGCCAAUCCCAGAAACCCGAUCGUAGUCCGGAUCGCAGCCUGCAACUCGACUGCGAAGUCGGAAUCGCUAGUAAUCGCGGAUCAGCAUGUCGCGGUGAAUACGUUCCCGGCCUGUACACACCGCCCGUCACACCAUGGGAGUGGGUUUUACCAGAAGUAGUUGAAGCCGAACGUAAGGAGGGCGAUACUACGGUAGGAUUCAUGACUGGGUGAAGUCGUAACAAGGUAA